rnacentral:rRNA from 1 species
UACAGAGGUCCCAAGCGUUGUUCGGAUUCACUGGGCGUAAAGGGUGCGUAGGUGGUCGGGUAAGUCUGGCGUGAAAUCUCCGAGCUCAACUCGGAAACUGCGCUGGAUACUAUUCGACUCGAGGAAUGGAGGGGAGACUGGAAUACUUGGUGUAGCAGUGAAAUGCGUAGAUAUCAAGUGGAACACCAGUGGCGAAGGCGAGUCUCUAGACAUUUCCUGACACUGAGGCACGAAAGCCAGGGGAGCAAACGGG